UAAAAUCCCCUGUUGUAGCAGUCUC
rnacentral:piRNA from 1 species